UUUCCGUAGGUGAACCUGCGGAAGGAUCAUUACAGAAAUAAACUUGAUGGAUUGUUGCUGGUUCACUAAUGUGAGCACUGUGCACGUCUGUCAUUUUUAUCUUUCCACCAUGUGCACCCUGCAUAGGCCUGAUUAUCAGCCAUUGGUUGAUCAAUAUGUAUAUAUUUUGGGAAUUGCAGUUUUGUAAAUGAACAGCUCUUUCCCUACCUUUCAGGUUCUAUGAUUUUUUUUUAUAAACCCCCUGUAUGUUUAUGAACGUCAAUCAAAGGCGCUUUUGUAGCCUAUAAACUUUAUACAACUUUCAGCAACGGAUCUCUUGGCUCUCGCAUCGAUGAAGAACGCAGCGAAAUGCGAUAAGUAAUGUGAAUUGCAGAAUUCAGUGAAUCAUCGAAUCUUUGAACGCCCCUUGCGCUCCUUAGUAUUCUGAGGAGCAUGCCUGUUUGAGUGUCAUUAAAUUCUCAAUUAUGUUCAGCUUUUUGUUGGAGCAUGAUUGGAUGUGGGGGUUUGUGGAUAUCGCAAGAUAUAUGCCACUCCCUUCAAAAAUAUUAGCUGGAAUGCCUUGGCAAAUCCAACUAUCAGUGUGAUAAAUAUCAGUGCUGUAGUUGUUGCAAAGGGAAUCUGCUUCUCAAUUGUUGCAAGACAACUUUGAAUCAAUUUGACCUCAAAUCAGGUAGGACUACCCGCUGAACUUAAGCAUAUCAAUAAGCGGAGGAAAAGAAACUAACAAGGAUUCCCCUAGUAACU
rnacentral:rRNA from 1 species